rnacentral:lncRNA from 1 species
CUUUGACACUUCUGAAUAGCUGUAAUCAAUGUCAUUGUCCUUCAAAAAUGCCUCAAUCAUUGCUUUAACUUUCUCUGGCUCCAAGCUUUCACAUUCAAUCUCAUAACAAGUCCCAAAGUCAUACAUAGUCUCAUCUACCUCCAAUACCACACCACACCACUCAAACACAUUCCUCACAUUCUUAAACCCACCCAAUCCAAUAAACCCUUCCUCCCCAACGUGAAAUUCCUCUCUUGCCCUUUUCAAAA